AGUGAACGCUGGCGGCGUGCUUAACACAUGCAAGUCGAACGAGAACGGGCUAUAGCUUGCUAUAGUUGUCAGCUAAGUGGCGCACGGGUGAGUAAUGUAUAGGUAAUAUGCCUCUUACUAAGGGAUAACAAAUGGAAACGUUUGCUAAUACCUUAUGCUCCUUAUUAACAGAAGUUAAUAAUGGAAAGAUUUAUUGGUAAGAGAUUAGCCUGUAUUGUAUCAGUUAGUUGGUGGGGUAAUGGCUUACCAAGACUAUGACACAUAACUGGUUUGAGAGGAUGAUCAGUCACACUGGAACUGAGACACGGUCCAGACUCCUACGGGAGGCAGCAGUGGGGAAUAUUGCACAAUGGACGAAAGUCUGAUGCAGCAACGCCGCGUGGAGGAUGACACAUUUCGGUGCGUAAACUCCUUUUAUAUGAGAAGAUAAUGACGGUAUUAUAUGAAUAAGCACCGGCUAACUCCGUGCCAGCCGCCGCUGUAA
rnacentral:rRNA from 1 species